rnacentral:rRNA from 1 species
CGAAGUAGUGCCUAUGCGCUAUUUAGUGGCAAACGGGUGAGUAACACGUAGCUUAGCUGUCCUAAAGUGGGGGAUAGCCGCGGGAAGCCGCGGGUAAUACCGCAUGUGAUCUACGGAUUAAAGCUUAAUGCGCUUUAGGAGGUGGCUGCGGCCCAUCAGGUUGUUGGCGGGGUAAUGGCCCACCAAGCCUAUGACGGGUAUCCGGCCUGAGAGGGUGAUCGGACACAUUGGAACUGAGACACGGUCCAGACUCCUACGGGAGGCAGCAGCUAGGAAUUUUCCGCAAUGGACGAAAGUCUGACGGAGCAACGCCGCGUGAAGGAUGAAGGUCUUUAGGGAUUGUAAACUUCUUUUAUAUGAGACGAGUAAGGACGGUAUCAUAAGAAUAAGUCCCGGCUAACUACGUGCCAGCAGCCGCGGUAAUACGUAGGGGGCUAGCGUUGUUCGGAAUUACUGGGUAUAAAGGGUGCGCAGGCGGAUUUCUAAGCAAGAGGUGAAAUGUCAAGGCUCAACCAUGGCACUGCCUUUUGAACUGGUUAUCUGGAGUACAGAAGGGGAGAGCAGAAUUUCCGGUGUAGGGGUGGAAUCUAUAGAUAUCGGAAGGAAUACCGUUCGCGAAGGCGGCUC